rnacentral:misc_RNA from 1 species
CUCGCUCGAGUGGACUGUGCGAUGCCGACCUUGCGUGGCUGACCGUGACUGCUACCGGCACGAGCAUCCAGCCCAACCGUUGCGGAUGCCUGCCCCGUUCUGCUCGACCUCAUCGCUUUGCGGCGGACAGCGGGUCGAAUGCGGCGACAACGGCUCAGGGAGAUGCAGGCCCUUCUUAGCAAGGUCAAGAGACUGGCUUUGCUGCAGAUGCGAAGGCGACCGGCCUGCCUGAGCGAGACGGCCGCUCUUCCACGAGCAGCGAGACGGAAGGAUUUCUUUCUCGCUCAGCUCGUUGACCGCGUGCAUUCGUCAAGCGAAGAAAAGCGCUUCGUCCUGGUCGUCCCAGGAUGAAUUCCCGCACGCUCGCUCUCGCACCGUGAGCCUGGUCGCAGGGUUGCUGGAUGGGGGGCUGUGCUAGCGUGUGGGGGGUAAUGCGGGCUCAUUACCACUCGAAGCAGCGUGGGUCGAGGCUGAAUUCACGCGCACCCUCGAUCGAGCGGAAACCUCUCAACC